UUAAAGGGAGUAAAACUGGUGGAUUUAGCACCAUGAGAUUAUCAUAGGAGCUGUGAGGAUAUGGAGCUGACAAAUGCAGAAGGUUUAAAGAUCUCCUGAAGAACAGUCAGACCUCUAUGUUGGGAAGAGUAGCAUGAGCGCAGUGGAAAAAAUAAGUACAGGACUGGCUUUGGACUUACUGUGAGACCAUGGCUACCCCCAUAUAGUUUCACUAGAUGGAAUCACAGC